rnacentral:rRNA from 1 species
GACAGAGGGUGCAAACGUUGCUCGGAAUCACUGGGCGUAAAGCGUGCGUAGGCGGUUCGUUAAGUCUGCUGUGAAAGCCCUGGGCUCAACCUGGGAACUGCAGUGGAUACUGGCGGACUAGAGUGUGAUAGAGGAUGGUGGAAUUCCCGGUGUAGCGGUGAAAUGCGUAGAGAUCGGGAGGAACACCAGUGGCGAAGGCGGCCAUCUGGAUCAACACUGACGCUGAGGCACGAAAGCGUGGGGAGCAAACAGGG